rnacentral:rRNA from 1 species
CAAUGGGCGAAAGCCUGACCCAGCAACGCCGCGUGAGGGAUGAAGUAUUUCGGUAUGUACACCUCGAAAGAAUGGGAAGAAUAAAUGACGGUACCAUUUAUAAGCUCCGGCUAACUACGUGCCAGCAGCCGCGGAAAUACGUAGGGAGAAAGCGUUGUUCGGAUUUACUGGGCGGAAAGGGCGCGUAGGCGGCGCGGUACGUCACUUGUGAAAUCUCUGAGCUUAACUCAGAACGGCCAAGUGAUACUGCUGUUCUAGAGGGCGGAAGUGGCAACCGGAAUACUUGGUGUAGCGGUGAAAUGCGUAGAUAUUAAGAGGAACACCUGAGGCGAAGGCGGGUUGCUGGGCCGACACUGACGCUGAUGCGCGAAAGCCAG